rnacentral:tRNA from 1 species
GGGCCCGUGGCCUAGUAUGGAUAAGGCGUUGAGUCUCGACCGUUAACUCGGUCGCACGUGAAUCCCCUCUAAGGCAGAGAUCGAGGGUUCAAAUCCCUCCGGGCCCG